GAGGCGCACGCAGGGAGCAGGAACGCGCGGAACGCAGGACGCGGUGACGACUACGCCGGACGUGGUGACGCAGCGCGCAGGCCGCAGCGGGGGGCGGACUCUGGGCCUUUCUUCCCCUUCUGAUUUUCCCCCUCCCCCCUUUUCUCCCUCUCCGGGUCUGGUUCCCCCUUUUAUUCCCCUCACCCCCCUCCUUCCCAAGCCCCUUCCCCCUCCCCCGCCCCAGUCCCCCUGCUCCCCCGCCCUGGGCCCGGGGGAAACCCCCGCCGAGAAGAGCCCGCCCCUAGAAGCGCGCCGCCGCCGGCCGUCGGGGCCGAGCCGCAGCCGAGGGGCCGUGGGCCCGGGCGGCGGGCGGAGACGCGGGCGCCCUUCCCGCUACGGCCCGCGUGAGGAGAAUUGCUAGAGGCUGUCCACUCUCCUUUUCCCAGUGUCUCUCCAAAUUAUGAUGAUAAAAAUAAUUCUUAAUACUUCACCACAAUGGAAGAGACAAUACAUCUGAGAUAGAGAUCAGUUACAUCCAGAAACUUGAUCAGAUUCAGAUUCAGUGCUUUUGGCUACAACACUUUAUGUGGUGUCUGUUUCCAGCAGGAGGUUUGUAAUGUCUAAUUAGUCUUCCUUUUGUGAUGUUAGCAGCCAUUGCUGAUCAUUGUCUAGAUCUGGAGUGAAGUGUCCUUCUUGGUUUUAUACCUCCAAAUUAGCUCUUCUGCCUCUCUGCAGAGGCAACUACUAUUAUGCUUUUGUGCAUCUGUACAUUUAUAAGCAUAAACUAUAUACAUUCAUGCAAAUAUGUGUAUAUUCUUUUACAGAAUGGUUCUGCAUCCUGCUCUUCUCACUUAAUAUAGCUUAUAAUUGUGUCAAGAAUUUCUAGUUUAAGGCUGCUGAGUAUUACAGGAUCUAUAUGCAUUGUUUAUUACUGUCUUAGUAAAGGGAGUUUUGAUUUUCCUUCAGUCUUUCGCAGUUACAAAGAGUGCUACAUUAAUAACCUUGUACAUAGAUUAUUUUCUGUAUUUAUAGGAUUAUGUCAAUUGAGAAAUUUCUAAAAGUUAACACUUUUGUAAUUUUUAUCAAUAUUAUAAAAUUGCCUUCAAAGAUAAUAUGCAAUUUACAUUUUACACCAGCAAUUUAUUUCUCUACCAGUGGGUAGAAGAUUUGGUGUGGUAAAUAUAUACAAAAUAAUCAGUUUGAAAUAUCAGCUUUAUCCUUCUGUGUUUACAGUGAAACACUCAACACUGGAUUGUGUUUUAGCCUUGUCUUUUCAACAUAAUCAUGAACUAAGUUCCUGUGAGGGGCUGGUGCUGUGGCGCAGUAGGUUAAUCUUCUGCGUGUGGUGCUGGUGUCCCAUAUCAGUGCCGAAUCUAGUCCUGACUGCUCCUCUCCCGAUCCAACUCUCUGCUAUGGCCUGGGAAAGCAGUAGAAGAUGGCCCAAGUCCUUGGGCCCCUGCACCGGCAUGGGAGACCCAGAAGAAGCUCCUGGCUCCUGACUUCAGAUUGGCUCAGCUCCUGCCGUUGUGGCCAUUUGGGGAGUGGAGUAGCAGAUGGAAGACCUUUCUCUCUGUCUCUCUCACUAUAAUUAACUCUCCUCUCAAAUAAAUAAAAAAAAAAAUUUUUUUUUUAAAAAGUUCCUGUGAACGAAUAUAAUCUUUGCUAUCCACUAUAAGCAAAUAAUUACAUCAGAUUAACUACGUAAAGUAUUGGAGAAGACUUUCUUCUUUAAACAUUUAUUUAUUUGAAAGAGCAACAGAGAGAGAAACCUUCCAUCUGCUGGUUCACUCCCCAAAUACCUGCAACAGCCAGGGCUGGGUCACAACAAAGCCGGGAGCCAGGAACUCUUUCUAGAUCCCAUACAUAGGCCAGCAUCUGAUGCCUUCUCAGGUUCUUUUAGCAGGAAGCUGGAUUGGGAUGUUGGUGUUGUGAGUGGUGGCUUAACCUGCUGCACCACAAUGCUGGUCCCUCUCGUAAAGCUUUCUAGAGGAGAGGAGCCUUAACUGACAGGUGAGGCUGGGCAAAUUCUAGAUUAACAGCUUUUAAACAUUUUGGUCUCUGAUCUUUGUACACUUUUAGCAUUUUUUAAAUUUGAAAGACAGAGGACAAAUGUAAAACUCUCAUCUACUCAUUCAUUUCCCAAAUGCCAGUAAUAACUGGGUCUGGACCAGGCUGCAGGUCUGUAUGUGUGUCUGGAACCCAGCAACUUGAGCUAUCACUGCUGCCCCCAGCAUCGCAGAAAGCUGAGGUCAGGAGAUGGAGCCAGGAAUCGAGUCUGGGUUCUCCAGUGUAGGAUGUGGGUGUCUGAACCAACAUUUUAUUUGUUGGCCAAAUAUCCACUCUCUUAUAUACACUUUUAAAAAUUAUAGGGCUGGUGUUCAGACGUAGUAGGUAAAGCUGCCACCUAUGAUGCUGGCUUCCCAUAUAGUUGCUGGUUCAGGCCUCUGCUGCUGCCCUUCCAAUCUAGCUCCCUGCUGAUAUACCUGGGAAAGCAGCAGCAGAUGGCCUAAGUAGCUGGGCCCCUGCCACCUUGUGGGAGAUCCAGAAGAAGCUCUGGCUCCCGGCUUUCGGCCAUUUGGGGAAUGAACCAGCAGAUGGAAGAGCUCUCUCUCUGUCUCUCCCUCCCUCUCUCUCUGUAAAUUCUGCCUUUCAAAGUAAUAAAUAAAUAAUUAAAAUAAAAAUUAUAAAAGAUCCCAAAGAACCUUUCUGUAUGUGGAGUAUAUUUAUUAAUAUUUACUAUUCAAAAUUAAAAUAAUGUAUUUGCUAAUUCAUUACACAAUAAGCACAUUAAUAUUCAGUUUUUAAAAUGAAAAAACUUUUUUAAAAGAUUUUAUUUAUUUAGUUGAAAGGCAGAGAGAGAGAUCCUCCAUCUGCUGGCUCACUCCCCAAAUGCCACAAUAGUGGGAAGGGGGCCGAUCCGAAGCUAUGAGCUGGGAGCUUCUUCCGGGUCUCCCACGUGGGUGCAGGGGCCCAAGCAUUUGGGCCAUCUUCCACUGCUUUCCAAGUCUAUAGCAGAGAGCCAAAUCUGAAAGUGGAAGAGCUGAGUCUCAAACCGGUGCCCAUAUGGGAUGCUGGCACCGCAGGUGGAGGCUUAGCCUACUGUGUCACAGCACCGGCCCCCAAAAACCUGUUUUCUAAAGCAGAAAAGGUCUACUGAGAAGGAAGACUUUGUUUUACUUUUUGUUGUUGUUGCAAAUCUCUGUAAUGUCCGCCUUAAUAGAAGACAAAAUGGAUUCUUUUUUUUUUUUUUUAAGAUUUUGUUUAUUUUAUUUGAGAGGUAGAGUUACAGACAAUGAGAGGGAGAGACGAAGGUCUUCCUUCCAUUGGUUCACUCCCCAAAUUGCUGCAACACAGGAGCUGCACCAGUCUGAAGCCAGGAGCGGUCUCCCACAUGGGUGCAGGGGCCCAAGGACUUGGGCCAUCUUCUGUUGCUUUCCCAGACCAUAGCAGAGAGCUGGAUUGGAAGUAGAGCGGCCAGGACUGGAAUUGGAGCCCAUAUGGAAUGCUGGCCCUGCAUGCGGAGGCUUAUCCUACAAUGCCACAGUUCUGGCCCCUGGCCUUUUACUUAAUGUAUGAUUGGGAAAUAUGAAUCAGUCAAUUGAAAUAUACUGUUUUACUGACAUAUAGACCUCUAACUAUUUGACACAUUUCAUUAUAUUUUUAUUUAUUUUUUAUUUAAACAAAUUUUAAAGAUUUAUUUGCAAGUCCGAGUUAGAGAGGGAGUGGCAGAGGGAGAGGGAGAGGGAGAGGGAGAGAGACAUCUUCCAUCUGCUGGUUCGCUCCCCCAGAUGGCUGUAACAGUUGGAAUUGGGCCAGGCCAAAGCCAGGAGCUUCCUCCAGAACUCCCAUAUGGGUGUAGGCGCCCCAAGUGCUUUCCCAGGCACAUCAGCAGGGUGCUGGAUUGGAAGUGGAGCAACUGGGACACCAACCAGUGCCCAUAUAGGAUGCUGAUGUUGCAGGUGGCAGCUUUACUUGCUACUCCAUAAGGUAGACCCCAAGAAAGUUUUAUUUUUUUUUAAAGAUUGAUUGAUUGAUUUGAAAGGCAGAGAUAAAGAGAAACAGAGGCAGAGAGAGAGAAGUCCUUCAUUCACUUGUUCACUUCCCAAAUGGCUGCAACAGCCGGAGCUGGGCCAAUCUGAAACCAGGAGCCAGGAGCUUCUUCCAGGUUUCCCAUGUGGGUGCAGGAGCCUAAGGACUUGGGCCAUCUUCUACUGCUCUCCCAGGCCAUAGCAGAGAGCUGGAUUGGAAGUAGAGCAGCGGGGACUCGAACCGGCGGCCAUAUGGGAUGCUGGCACUGCAGGUGGAGGCCCCAUCUGCUGUGCCAUAGCUACGGCCCCAUUACUUGAAUAUUAAUGAGACAUAUACUAAGGGGUAGAAACUUAACAAAAUUACCAACUUUUAUUGUUUUACUAAGGAAAUUUUAAAGUUAUUUACUUAUUUAUUUUUUAAGAAGCAAGUGUUGGGUGGUAAAGAACAUAUUACUUAGGGACAGCGCUGUGGCAUAGCAGGGAAAGCCACUGCCUGCAGUGCCAGCAUCCCAUAUGGGUACCGGUUCGAGUCCUGGCUGUUCUACUUCCGAUCCAGCUUUCUGCUAUGGCCUGGGAAAGCAGUAGAAGAUGGCCCAAGUCCUUGGGCCCCUGCAUCCACAUGGGAGACCUGGAAGAAGCUCCUGGCUCAUGUCUUCGGAUCGGCACAGCUCUGGCCGUUGCAGCCACCUAGGGGAGUGAACCAGCAGAUGAAAGACCUCUCUCUCUCUUUGCUUCUCCUUCUCUCUCUUUGUAACUCUUUCACGUAAAUAAUAAAUAAAUCUUAAAAAAAAAGAACAUAUUACUGGUAUAGUUUGAUAACCCUGCCUUCAUUUAUAGAAAGGCACUAUCAGUUUACCUUCUGAUGCUUUUGUCAAUAUGAUGAAAAAAGCGAAUAAAACUUCAGUAUUAUUUUGAAAAAAUAACAUUUGAUGUUAUGAAACCUAUUUGACCUCUUAGACCCAAUCCUGAGAUCACACUUUUGAGAACUGUGUUGUAGAUAGGUGGUACAUACCUAGAGAAACUGAGGUGAGAAAAAGCAUAGCUUUUUUAGAUCAGUUACACUAAUUUGUUAUGACAAGUCAGAGUACAUGGUGAGAGAAAAAGAAGAUAGUUAAGUUCCAGAUCGUAAAGGGACAAGAGUGCAGAUUUAUCCAAUAGGCAGGCAAAGAGGACCCUUUAAGAAUAUAUAUGUAUUGGGGCCGGUGCUGUGGCAUAGUGGGCAAAGCUUCUACCUGCAGUGCUGGCAUCCCAUAUGGGUGCUGGUUUGAGUCUCUGCUGCUUCACUUCCAAUCCAGCUCUCUGCUAUGGCCUGGAAAAGCAGUAGAACAUGGCUCUUGAGCCCUUGCACCUUUGUCAGAGACCUGGAAGAAGCUCGUGGCUCCUGGCUUUGUUUCAGCACAGCUCCAGCCAUUGUGGCCAUCUGGAGAGUGAACCAGUGUAUAGAAGACCUCUCUCUCUCUGCCUCUGCCUCUGCCUCUCUGCAACACUGCCAGCGCUGUGGCAUAGCAGGUAAAGCUGCCGUCUGCUGUGCUGGCAUCCCAUAUGGGUGCCUGUUCGAGACCCGGCUGGUCCACUUCUAAUCCAGCUCUCUGCUGUGGCCUGGGAAAGCAGUAGAAGAUGGCCCAAGUCCUUGGGCCCCUGCACCUGCAUGGGAGACCCAGAAGAAGCUCCUGGCUCCUGGCUUUGGAUUGGCUCAGCUCUGGCCGUUGCAGUCAUUUGGGGAGUGAACCAGUGGAUGAAAGACCUCUCUCUCGCUCUCUCUCUGCCUCUGCCUCUGCCUCUCUGUGGCUCUGCCUUUCAAAUAAAUAAUAAAAUAAAACUUAAAAAAAUUUUAAAAAUAUGUAUGUAUUUAUAUUUUUCAAAGAUUUUUUAAAAAAAUUAUUUGAGAGGCAGUUACAGAGAGAGGUCUUCCAUCCACUGGUUCAAUCCCCAAAUGGUUGCAAUGGCCAGGACUAGGCUGAUCUGAAGCCAGAAGCUUUUCCCAGAUCUCCUAUGUGGGUGUAGUGGCCCAAGCACUUGGGCCAUUUUCCACUGCUUUCCUAGGCCUUUAGCAGAGAGUUGGACCAGAAGAGGAGCAGCUGGGAGAAAAACUGGCACCUAUAUGGGAUACUGGUGCCACAGACGGAGGCUUAGCCUACUACGCCACAGCACCAUCCCCUCAAAGAUUAUUCUUGUUUUACUGUGUCUGUGGAGGCCAGUGGUCCCAAACUAAGGCAUGGAGCCUUAGAGGGUCAGGCUGUAUAGAUUGGUGCAGAGGUCACAGCAUGUCCUUCCUGAAGACAGAACUGAGCCUGCAGCAUUUGUUGGGUGGCUGGAUGGACAAAAAUAAAACCAGCAGCUUCCAUUAAGUCUAUUGAAAGUUCCCUUAAAUCUUGUUUAGGCAGUUUUUUCUGGAAGUAACUUUGACAUAAGAAAUGUUCUGGAAUCUCUUUUGCAUAAAUGACUUCCAGAGGUAAUCACUAUUCUGACUUCUAUUUCCAUAGAUUAUUAGAGUUUUUUUAAAAAAGAUUUUAUUUAUUUGAGAGCUGGAGUUACAGACAGAGAGAGGCAGAGGCAGAGAGAGAGAGAGGUCUUCCAUCCACUGGUUCACUCCCCAGGUGGCUGCAGUGGCUGGUGCUGUGCGGAUCCGAAGCCAGGAGCCAAGAGCUUCCGGGUCUCCCAUGUGGGUGCAGUGGCCCAAGGAUUUGGACAAUCUUCCAGUGCUUUCCCAGGCCAUAGCAGAGAGCUGGAUCAGAAGUGGAGCAGCUGAGACUUGAACCGGCACCUAUAUGGGAUGCCAGCACUGCAAGUGGCAGCUUUACCCACUACGCCACAGUGCCGGCCCCCUGCUUCUUCUUUCUUUUGGUUUCCAUUUGCUUGUAAUAUCUUGUUCCAUCUUUUCAGUUUCAGUCUAUGUGUGUCGUUAGAGGUGAAGUGAUUUUCUAGUAAGCAGCAUACAUUUGGGGCUUAUUUUUUUUUUUAUUCCAUUUGGUCACUCUGUUUUUUAAUUGGAGAAUGUAGUUCAUUGACAUUUAUAAUAAUUAUUGAUUAAUAAGUUUGUAUUAUUUCUGUAUUUCUUCCUAUUUUUCAUGCUUAUUCAUUUUUUAUUGUAGUUACAUUUUGUGUGUUUUAAUUUUAUUUUAUUUAAAUAUUUAUUUAUUUGAAAGGCAGAGUAAUGGAGAAAGAAAUAUAUCUUCCAUCUGCUGAUUGACUCUCCAAAUGGCUGCAAUGGCCUGGGCUGAUCCAGGCCAAAGCCAGGAGCCCACAGCUCCUGUGGGUCUUUCAUGUGACACUCACGUAGCAGGGGUCCAAGAACUUGGGCCAUCUUCCACUGCUUUCCCAGACCAUUAGCAGGGAGUUGGAUCAGCAGCAGAGCACCUGGGAUUAGAAUAGGACAAGGCAGGUAGCUACAUUUAUUGUAGUUUCUUUCUUGUAUUAGAAUCUUCAUUUGUGGUUAAGUUAUUUUUCUCUAGUGGUGUACUUUGAUUCCUUAUUAUUUUUGUUAAGUCCAUUAUAGGUCUUUGAUUUGUGGUUGCCAAGAAUCUUUUUUUUAUUUUUAUUUUAUUUUAUUUAUUUAUUUAUUUUGACAGGCAGAGUGGACAGUGAGAGAGAGAGAGAGACAGAGAGAAAGGUCUUCCUUUACCGUUGGUUCACCCUCCAAUGGCCGCCGUGGCUGGCGCGCUGCAACCGGCGCACCGCACUGAUCCGAUGGCAGGAGCCAGGUGCUUCUCCUGGUCUCCCAUGGGGUGCAGGGCCCAAGCACUUGGGCCAUCCUCCACUGCACUCCCUGGCCACAGCAGAGAGCUGGCCUGGAAGAGGGGCAACCAGGACAGAAUCUGGUGUCCCGACUGGGACUGGAACCUGGUGUGCCGGCGCCGCUAGGCGGAGGAUUAGCCUAGUGAGCCGCGGCACCGGCGGUUGCCAAGAAUCUUAUAAAAAACUUCUUUUGGCUGUAGUAAACUAUCUUGAAAAUUAUAAUAAGUUAGCAUUUAUUAUAAAGGUAGGAAAGAGACAAAAAACAAAGAUAUAAGAAAUCCUAAUAGGAGCCAGUGCUGUGGUGUAGCGGAUGAGGCCACCACCUGCAGUGCCAGCAUCCUGUAGGGUGCCGGUUCAAGUCCUUGCUGCCCCACUUCUGAUUCAGCUCUUUGUUGUGGUGUGGGAAAGCAGUGGAAGAUGGCCCAAGUCCUUGGGCCCCUGCAUCCACAUGGGAGACCUGGAAGAAGCUCCUGGCUCAUGUCUUCGGAUCGGCACAGCUCUGGCCGUUGCAGCCACCUAGGGGAGUGAACCAGCAGAUGAAAGACCUCUCUCUCUCUUUGCUUCUCCUUCUCUCUCUUUGUAACUCUUUCACGUAAAUAAUAAAUAAAUCUUAAAAAAAAAGAACAUAUUACUGGUAUAGUUUGAUAACCCUGCCUUCAUUUAUAGAAAGGCACUAUCAGUUUACCUUCUGAUGCUUUUGUCAAUAUGAUGAAAAAAGCGAAUAAAACUUCAGUAUUAUUUUGAAAAAAUAACAUUUGAUGUUAUGAAACCUAUUUGACCUCUUAGACCCAAUCCUGAGAUCACACUUUUGAGAACUGUGUUGUAGAUAGGUGGUACAUACCUAGAGAAACUGAGGUGAGAAAAAGCAUAGCUUUUUUAGAUCAGUUACACUAAUUUGUUAUGACAAGUCAGAGUACAUGGUGAGAGAAAAAGAAGAUAGUUAAGUUCCAGAUCGUAAAGGGACAAGAGUGCAGAUUUAUCCAAUAGGCAGGCAAAGAGGACCCUUUAAGAAUAUAUAUGUAUUGGGGCCGGUGCUGUGGCAUAGUGGGCAAAGCUUCUACCUGCAGUGCUGGCAUCCCGUAUGGGUGCUGGUUUGAGUCUCUGCUGCUUCACUUCCAAUCCAGCUCUCUGCUAUGGCCUGGAAAAGCAGUAGAACAUGGCUCUUGAGCCCUUGCACCUUUGUCAGAGACCUGGAAGAAGCUCGUGGCUCCUGGCUUUGUUUCAGCACAGCUCCAGCCAUUGUGGCCAUCUGGAGAGUGAACCAGUGUAUAGAAGACCUCUCUCUCUCUGCCUCUGCCUCUGCCUCUCUGCAACACUGCCAGCGCUGUGGCAUAGCAGGUAAAGCUGCCGUCUGCUGUGCUGGCAUCCCAUAUGGGUGCCUGUUCGAGACCCGGCUGGUCCACUUCUAAUCCAGCUCUCUGCUGUGGCCUGGGAAAGCAGUAGAAGAUGGCCCAAGUCCUUGGGCCCCUGCACCUGCAUGGGAGACCCAGAAGAAGCUCCUGGCUCCUGGCUUUGGAUUGGCUCAGCUCUGGCCGUUGCAGUCAUUUGGGGAGUGAACCAGUGGAUGAAAGACCUCUCUCUCGCUCUCUCUCUGCCUCUGCCUCUGCCUCUCUGUGGCUCUGCCUUUCAAAUAAAUAAUAAAAUAAAACUUAAAAAAAUUUUAAAAAUAUGUAUGUAUUUAUAUUUUUCAAAGAUUUUUUAAAAAAAUUAUUUGAGAGGCAGUUACAGAGAGAGGUCUUCCAUCCACUGGUUCAAUCCCCAAAUGGUUGCAAUGGCCAGGACUAGGCUGAUCUGAAGCCAGAAGCUUUUCCCAGAUCUCCUAUGUGGGUGUAGUGGCCCAAGCACUUGGGCCAUUUUCCACUGCUUUCCUAGGCCUUUAGCAGAGAGCUGGACCAGAAGAGGAGCAGCUGGGAGAAAAACUGGCACCUAUAUGGGAUACUGGUGCCACAGACGGAGGCUUAGCCUACUACGCCACAGCACCAUCCCCUCAAAGAUUAUUCUUGUUUUACUGUGUCUGUGGAGGCCAGUGGUCCCAAACUAAGGCAUGGAGCCUUAGAGGGUCAGGCUGUAUAGAUUGGUGCAGAGGUCACAGCAUGUCCUUCCUGAAGACAGAACUGAGCCUGCAGCAUUUGUUGGGUGGCUGGAUGGACAAAAAUAAAACCAGCAGCUUCCAUUAAGUCUAUUGAAAGUUCCCUUAAAUCUUGUUUAGGCAGUUUUUUCUGGAAGUAACUUUGACAUAAGAAAUGUUCUGGAAUCUCUUUUGCAUAAAUGACUUCCAGAGGUAAUCACUAUUCUGACUUCUAUUUCCAUAGAUUAUUAGAGUUUUUUUAAAAAAGAUUUUAUUUAUUUGAGAGCUGGAGUUACAGACAGAGAGAGGCAGAGGCAGAGAGAGAGAGAGGUCUUCCAUCCACUGGUUCACUCCCCAGGUGGCUGCAGUGGCUGGUGCUGUGCGGAUCCGAAGCCAGGAGCCAAGAGCUUCCGGGUCUCCCAUGUGGGUGCAGUGGCCCAAGGAUUUGGACAAUCUUCCAGUGCUUUCCCAGGCCAUAGCAGAGAGCUGGAUCAGAAGUGGAGCAGCUGAGACUUGAACCGGCACCUAUAUGGGAUGCCAGCACUGCAAGUGGCAGCUUUACCCACUACGCCACAGUGCCGGCCCCCUGCUUCUUCUUUCUUUUGGUUUCCAUUUGCUUGUAAUAUCUUGUUCCAUCUUUUCAGUUUCAGUCUAUGUGUGUCGUUAGAGGUGAAGUGAUUUUCUAGUAAGCAGCAUACAUUUGGGGCUUAUUUUUUUUUUUAUUCCAUUUGGUCACUCUGUUUUUUAAUUGGAGAAUGUAGUUCAUUGACAUUUAUAAUAAUUAUUGAUUAAUAAGUUUGUAUUAUUUCUGUAUUUCUUCCUAUUUUUCAUGCUUAUUCAUUUUUUAUUGUAGUUACAUUUUGUGUGUUUUAAUUUUAUUUUAUUUAAAUAUUUAUUUAUUUGAAAGGCAGAGUAAUGGAGAAAGAAAUAUAUCUUCCAUCUGCUGAUUGACUCUCCAAAUGGCUGCAAUGGCCUGGGCUGAUCCAGGCCAAAGCCAGGAGCCCACAGCUCCUGUGGGUCUUUCAUGUGACACUCACGUAGCAGGGGUCCAAGAACUUGGGCCAUCUUCCACUGCUUUCCCAGACCAUUAGCAGGGAGUUGGAUCAGCAGCAGAGCACCUGGGAUUAGAAUAGGACAAGGCAGGUAGCUACAUUUAUUGUAGUUUCUUUCUUGUAUUAGAAUCUUCAUUUGUGGUUAAGUUAUUUUUCUCUAGUGGUGUACUUUGAUUCCUUAUUAUUUUUGUUAAGUCCAUUAUAGGUCUUUGAUUUGUGGUUGCCAAGAAUCUUUUUUUUAUUUUUAUUUUAUUUUAUUUAUUUAUUUAUUUUGACAGGCAGAGUGGACAGUGAGAGAGAGAGAGAGACAGAGAGAAAGGUCUUCCUUUACCGUUGGUUCACCCUCCAAUGGCCGCCGUGGCUGGCGCGCUGCAACCGGCGCACCGCACUGAUCCGAUGGCAGGAGCCAGGUGCUUCUCCUGGUCUCCCAUGGGGUGCAGGGCCCAAGCACUUGGGCCAUCCUCCACUGCACUCCCUGGCCACAGCAGAGAGCUGGCCUGGAAGAGGGGCAACCAGGACAGAAUCUGGUGUCCCGACUGGGACUGGAACCUGGUGUGCCGGCGCCGCUAGGCGGAGGAUUAGCCUAGUGAGCCGCGGCACCGGCGGUUGCCAAGAAUCUUAUAAAAAACUUCUUUUGGCUGUAGUAAACUAUCUUGAAAAUUAUAAUAAGUUAGCAUUUAUUAUAAAGGUAGGAAAGAGACAAAAAACAAAGAUAUAAGAAAUCCUAAUAGGAGCCAGUGCUGUGGUGUAGCGGAUGAGGCCACCACCUGCAGUGCCAGCAUCCUGUAGGGUGCCGGUUCAAGUCCUUGCUGCCCCACUUCUGAUUCAGCUCUUUGUUGUGGUGUGGGAAAGCAGUGGAAGAUGGCCCAAGUCCUUGGGCUCCUGCCUCCUAUCUUCAGAUUGGCACAGCUCUGGCUGUUGCAGCCAUCUGGGGAGUGAACCAGCGGGUGGAGGACCUCUCUCUCUCUCUCUCUGCCUCUGCCUCUCUAUAACUCUGCCUUUCAAAUAGAAUAGAUAAAUCUUAAAAAAAAAAAAAAAAGAAAAGAAAAGAAAAGAUGGAGCCAGUGCUGUGGCAUAGUGGGUAAAGCCACCGUCUGCAGUGCUAGAAUCCCAUAUGGGUGCCAGCUUGAGUCCUGGCUGCUCCACUUCUGAUCCAGCUCUCUGCUAUGGCCAAUUGGGCAGUAAACCAUUGGAUGAAAGACCUUUUUCUGUCUCUCUGGUUCUUCUCUCUAUGUAACUCUGGCUUUCAAAUAAAUAAGUAAAUCUUUAAAAAAAAAAAAAAAAGAAAUUCUAAUAAGAACUCUGUAGUUGGCCGGUGCCGCGGCUCACUAGGCUAAUCCUCCGCCUUGCGGCGCCGGCACACCGGGUUCUAGUCCCGGUCGGGGCGCCGGAUUCUGUCCCGGUUGCCCCUCUUCCAGGCCAGCUCUCUACUGUGGCCAGGGAGUGCAGUGGAGGAUGGCCCAGGUGCUUGGGCCCUGCACCCCAUGGGAGACCAGGAAAAGCACCUGGCUCCUGCCAUCGGAUCAGUGCGGUGCGGCGGUUGCAGUGCGCCGGCCGCGGUGGCCAUUGGAGGGUGAACCAACGGCAAAGGAAGACCUUUCUCACUGUCCACUCUGCCUGUCAAAAAAAAAAAAAAAAAAGAACUCUAUAGUUGUGCUAUAGUUGUGCUCCAUUUCUCCCACAUUUUGAAUUUUUUAAAAAAAUUUAUUUAAGGUACAUAAAUUUCAUCAAAUUUUGAAUUUUUGAUAAUUACAUUUGACCUUUAUCAAUAUUGCUCGUCUCUUUAACAUUUAAUUAUUAUCACUUUUAAAAAGUCUUCUGGGGCCUGAGCUGUGGCGUAGCAGGUAAAGCUGUCUGCAGUGCCGGCAUCCCAUAUGGACGCUGGUUUGAGACCCAGCUGCUCCCCUUCUGAUCUAGCUCUCUGCUAUGGCCUGGGAAGGCAGUAGAAGAUGGCCCAAGUCCUUGGGCCCCUGCACCCGUGUAGGAGACCAGGAAGAAGCUCCUGGUUCCUGGCUUCGGAUCGGCUCAGCUCUGGCCAUUGCAGCCAACUGGGGAGUGAACCAGCGGAUGGAAGACUCUCUCUCUCUCUCUCUGCUUCUCUUCUCUCUGUGUAACUCUGACUUUCAAAUAAAUAAAUAAAGUCUUCUCAGUAAAGAUAUACAUGGUUUACACAUCAUGUUUACAAGGAGCAUUCUGAAUUUAUUUGUAGAAUUACUCUUGCCAGUGAAUUACCUGCAUUCUGAUAUUUUCUCCUUGUUAGGGUUACUUUCUUUCAGUUUGAAGAACUCCCUUUAGCAUUUCUUAUAAUACCUGUCUGGUAAUGAUAAAUUCUCUCAGCAUUUGUUUAUCUAGGAGUGUCUUUGUCUUUCCCCCAAGUCUGGAUACUGUGUUUUUGGCUAGUACUUUCUUUCUUUUAGUGUUGUAGAAGGUUCAUCCUGCUCCUUCCUGGCCUGAAAAGUCUGCGGUCAGGCAAAAUGCGUUAUUUGCUUCUUUUCCCUUGCAGCUUUGAGAAUCCUUUCUUUAUCUUUAACCUUCGAAAACUUGACUUUUGGGGUAGACUUGGUUGGGUGACUCUGAAUGGUGACCUUUGACCUUCCUGUACUUGGAUGAUUCUAUUUUUCUCUAGGUUUGGGAAGUUGUCUAUCAUUAUCUCUUUGAAUAUGCUUUCUACCCCUCUGGCAUUCUCAGGUCUUUACUGAAUCCCAGUAACUCAGACAUUUGCACUUUCUGUCCUAUCCCAUAUUUUGUAUAAGCUUUUCUCAUUCCUCUUGAUUGUUUUUCUCCUUUGUGUAUUUUCAAAUAAUCUGUUUUCAAGUUCACUGAUUCUUUCUUCUGUUUGUUCUGUUCUACUAUUGAUGCCUUAUAUUGCAUUUUAAAUUCUACUUAGUGUAAUUUUUAAGUUGAAGGUUUUCUGUUUGAUUUUUAGAAAGUUUUAUUUAUUUAUUUGAAAGGCAGAGUUACAUACAGAGAGAGGGAGAGGCAGAGAGAGAGAGAGAGAUUCUCCAUCUGCUGGUUCAUUCCCCAAGUGGCUGCAAUGGCCAGAGCUGGGCCUAUCUGAAGCCAGGAGCCAGGAGCCUCCUCUAGGUCUCCCACAUGAAUGCAGGGCCCCAAGCACUUGGGCCAUGUUCCUCUGCCUUUCCAGGUACAUAGCAGAGAUCUGGAUUGGAAGUGGAGCAUCUGGGACUCGAAUUGUUUCCCAUAUGGGAUGCCAGCACUGCAGGUGGAGGCUUUAUCCGCUACACCACAGAGUUGACCCCCAAAAGAUUUAUUUAUUUCGAAAUAGAAGGAGAGGCACAGAGUGAGAUCUUAUAUCUACUGGUUCACUCCCCAGAUGGCUGCAGUGACCAGUCCUGGGCCAGACCAAAGCCAGGAGCUUUAUCUGGGUCUCCCACAUGGGUGGCAGGGGUCCAAACACUUGGGCCAUGUGCUGUUUUUUCCAGGCCAUUAACAGGUAGCUGGAUUGGAAGUUGAGCAGCUGGGACUUGAACAGGCACCCAUAUGGGAUGCUGGCAUCACAGGCAGAGGCUUUACCUGCUACGCUAUAAGACUGGCCUGUUUCUGUUUGAUUUUGUUUAAUUACUUCCUUUCCCAUCAAGUCUCUGUUAGAAUAUUGAAUCAUUUCUCUGUGUUCUGUUGAAUUUCAUUUAGUUUCCUUUAAACAGACAUUUUGAAAUCUUCAUCUGAGCAUUUGGAAAUUUCAAUUCUUAGAUAGUUGGUUUCUGACACCUUGUUUUGUUCUUUAUGUGAUGUCAUGGUUCCCUGGAAAUUAUGUUUUUUUAAAGAUUGAUUUCAUUUGUUUGAAAGGUAGAGUUAUAGAGGAGGGAGGGAGGAAGAGAGAGAGAUUGUUCUUUCAUCCACUAGCUCACUCUCCAAAUGGCCACAAUAGCCAGAUCUGUGCUAGGCCAAAGCCAGGAGCUUCUUCCAGGUCUCCCACGUGGAUUCAGGGACCCAAGAACUUGGGCCAUCUUCCACUGCCUUCCCAACUGCAUUAGCUGGGAGAUGAAUAGGAGGUAGAGCAGCUGGGACUCCAACUGGCUCCUAUGUGAGAUGUUGGCAUUGCAAAUGGCAGUGUAACCCAUUGUAACACAGUGCCAGCCCCCGGAAGUUUUUGAUGCUGUAUAAUGUCAUCUGCAUGUUCAAGGAUUAUCGUAAUCUGGCUGUCCUUUGAGAAAUUCCAAGCUGUCUAUUUAUUUAUUUAUUUAUUUGAGCCUGUGGAUAUUUCUGCUAUUUAUUUCAGCACUAGAUAGUACCCAAAGUUGCAGUUUGCUCCAGGCCCACUGUUGAUAUAUAUUUUCACUGAUUCAGUCUUAGAAUACUCCCAAACUCGAAUUUGCCCCAAAUCUAAAUUGAUGUAUUGUUCAGUGUGAACUGGCUAAGUGCCUAAAAAGGGGCAGUGCAUCCCUACAAGCCUCUUCCUGGGCCUAUGUUUGGCUUAGAUUCCUUGGUUUGUGUCCACAGAUGCCACAAUACUAGAUCACAUGUAGAGCUCUCAUCCCACCAAGACUGGUGCAGCAUGGAUAGGACCAAAGCUCACUCAGCUAAGGUCUGUCUACUCCUGAGGUGGGCUUACUGCCUGAUGCAUCAGCCUCCUGGUGAUGUUGGAUAGGGUGUAAGACUGCUGACCUGGGACCAGGAACUCUGCUGGGUACUGAAUGAAGCAGGUCCAGAGGAUCUGUGCAGGCAUGGACCUGGGUACAGGGUCCAUUAGAAUUUACUCAAUGCUGGCUUUUAUCAGCCUGGCCGAGUGCUAAACAGUUCUGUGAUUCCUGGCUGUCUGCCUAAGGUUGAAGGAAGGGUGAUAGAGGCAGUUCCUCAACUAUUCAGGCAGGCUCUAGUUGGGUCACACCUAGAUCUCACAGUCACUAGGCCUUGUGCAAUUUUGUGGUUGCACACCAGACCCAUAAGAGUUGUACAUGCUGAAAGAAGUCCGUCUCACCAGUGCACAGUUCUCUGCUGGCGCUGGGGCAAGUCCAGAGACUCCAUCCACAGGCAUUUGCCUUGGAAUGGAAACCUUUAGGAUCUGCCCAGUGUUGGGCUUUGCCAGACCAGCACUGAAUCCCAAGACACAAUUCCAUGGCCCCUUGCUUUCUGUCCAAGGUUGGAGGAGUAGUCCUCUGACUACCUAGGCUGGUCACAUCCUGUGUCCCCUAGUUACAGGUCCCUACAAAGUCCCAGGCAUGUCUGCCAAGCCCACCAGAUUCCAGCAGUGACACAUACCACAAUGAGUCUGACCUUCCCAGGGUGCAGAUCCCUGCCUGAUGCUUGAACAAUUCUAGAUGUGAUAGAGGCUUUAGGGUGUUACCAGGUCUCCAUGUGGUAGUCUGUCCUUUUUUUUUUUUUUAAGAUUUAUUUAUUUGAGAGGCAGAGUUAUAAAGAGGCAGAGAGAGAGGUCUUCUUCCACUGGUUCACUCCCCAGUUGGCUGCAACUGUUGGAGUUGUACUGAUCAGAAGGCAGGAGGCAGGAGCCUUUUCUGGGUCUCUCAUGUGGGUGCAGGGGCCCAAGGACUUGAGUCAUCUUCUACUGCUUUCCCAGGCCAUAGCAGAGAGCUGGAUCGGAAGUGGAGCAGCCGGGACUCAAACUGGUGCCCAUAUGGGAUGCUGACGCUGCAGUCCAGCAGCUUUACCCACUACGCCACAGCACCGACCCCUCUAUUUCACUGGCCCCUUUUUUUUCAUUCAUUUUAAACGAAGUGCAUGCUUGAUUUGUUUUUAUUGGCCUUGAUAUUUUUCUUUUUCAAGUUAGAACAAAACAAGCAAGGUUAAAAAAUACUUUCUGUGAUUACUUGGUGUUACCAGGUACUGAAAUUUUCAUAUUACCCUAGUAAUACCUGAACAUCUGCUAAUGUUGAGGGGACCAGUUUCUUUGCCAGGUGAUUUUUAACUUCUUUGUAAAAUUGGUAAUAGCUGGGGCCAGCGCUGUGGUGUAGCAGGUAAAACCACUGUCUGUAGUGCCGGCAUUCCAUAUUGAUGCUGAUUCGAGAUCUGGCUGCUCCACUUCUGAUCUAGCUCUCUGCUAUGGCCUGGGAAAGCAGCAGAAGAUGGCGAUGGCCCAAGACCUUGGGCCCCUGCACCCACCUGUGAGACCUGGAAGAAGCUCAUGGCUACUGGCUUUGGAUCAGCCCAGCUCUGGCUAUUGUAGCCAUUUGGGAAGUGAGCCAUCAGAUGGAAGACCUUUCUCUCUCUCUCUCUGCCUCUGCUUCUCUUUAACUCUUUCAAAUAAAUGAAUAAAUCUUAAAAAAAAACAAACAGUAAUUUCUGAGGGUUAAUAAUUCGGUCCUUUUUAUGGGCUCUUGGCUGUUAAGUCAUCUAGAAUCACUAAUAUGAGCCUGAAGUACUACUUUUUUUUUUUUUUUUGGACAAGUGCUCAAUGCAGUCAUGCAGGGCAAGGCUCCGUAGCAAGGAAAGGUGUCUGGAUUGUGGUUGUCUUGAGUAGACAGUGUUUUUAUACAUGAAAUAAACAAAAAUCUUUGGCAGGGCUCAGAUCUUAGUGACCUGUUAGCCCUUCAGGAUGAAUCAGAAUAAGUUCUACGUGAUGUGACAAGUGGCACAGUGAGCCCCUUGCUUUUUGUUGGGCCUCAUUAAGGCUGCCAUAGCCCUUAUUUUAGAGAAGAGUAAAAGUUAUUGUUCAAGAAUUCAGAUGACUUUCAAAACUGUUUUGGAGGGGAAAGGUCACUUUCAGUAUAGGUGUAUUAUUGGAAGUGACAUAUGGCUGUUUUUUUAGAUUAUAGCCAUUUUGGUAUUCCCAAACGUUAGAGUGGAUGUUUAAAACUUGUCUCCAGGCGACUAGAGGUUAGUCUAGUCAAUAUUUUUUUAAUUAAUUGUCCUGACAAGUGGAUAAUCAGAUAGUAAUCUGAUUAUUAUUAUAUUGGUAAUCAGAAUAAUAAUCCAGACAAGUGGAUUUUUUAACUGUAAUUUCUGAUUUACAUUGCUGAAACCAGUAAUAAUCUGAUAACAGUGGGAAUAUACAGGUGGCAUUUUAUUGCCAAAGCUGGAUGUUGGCCGGGUGGAAGAAUCUAGUAAAGAGGCUGUAACUGUAGGCUCCUUGGGGGUUACAAUGCAUGGAGGAUAGAAGAGAAUUAGACUUUUUCCAGAAAGUAUUCUGUUUUUAAUUAUAAUGACUACAAUUUGAUCAACAAAACCCUUAGAGCAGUCAAGUACUAGUGUAUCUUUUGAAUUAUGUUGCUCUUGAUUCUCUGACUCAGAGUUGAAGAACAACCCCUUGGUGUAGCCAGGCUCUCAGUGUGAACAACUAUGGCCACUUAAAAUGAGACACCCUGGGUAUGCCUUGAGGGCUUGUGGGGGAAAGGCAACUAGUAAUCUUUUUGUGGGUUGUAACAAGGUAUUUCAUGGGAAAAAAUUGACCAAGUGGCCAGUGUUUUAGGACCAAAGUUGGUGGUAAAAAGGUUAAUGUCCUCUAGACAUGUCUUUGCAUCCAAUUACUGCAUGUCUCUGAUGCUAAACCCUUGAAGUGCAAAGCCUGUAAAGAAACCAGAAAAGCAUCCUCAUAGAUUUCUUUGAAAGGUAUUGAGAAAGCAGACUUCAGAGGUAGACUCUUUGUGGAACAAGAUUACAAAGCAAAAUGGUGAGUUGAGAUACACCUCUCAACAUAGAACACAGUAGGACUUAGGUGUUUCCUGGCCUUCCAGGAAUAUAGACUGACUUGGGCAUGUGGAGGGUAUCAGUGGUGACACCCAGCGCUUUGGGCUCCUAAAGUAGAUUAAGAAGCACCCCUAAAGCAGAUUAAGCUCUCAAGGUGUUGUAAUAGCGAUGAUAAUAAUGAUGAUGGUGGUGAUAAAUAUUACAGUAAGGGAAGGAUAUAUUUAAUUAUGUGUUUGCAAUGCUUACUUAUACUCAUUGAAAAAAAAAUUCUGUCUCUGGCCCCUCUUCAUUUCUAUGUCUCCCCUACUAAGAGCAUCUGGGAUCUGCUUUCUUAUUUCUAGACUUGUCUUGUGUAAAAGGAUAAUGUUUUAAACAUAGCUGCAGAGAGGGUUAGGCGUUGUGGUACAGCAGGUUAGGCAGCUGCUUGACAUGCCUGCAGCCCAUAAUGGAGUGUCUGACAUCUAGGCCUGGCUCUGUUUCUGAUCCAACUUCCUGAUAACGUGCCUGGAAGAUGUUUGGGUACCUACCACCCCAUGGAGACCUGGAUGAAGUUACUAGCUCCUGGCUUCAGCCCAGCCCAACCCCUGCUGUUGUAGCUUUGGGGAACAAACCAGGAUGGAAGAUCUCUUUCUCUCUGUCACUCUACCUUUCAAAUAAAUAAAUAAAUCUUAGAAAAGGCCCAAAAAAAGGGAUUCUUUUAAGAAUAAAGUAGACCAAAGUCGGCACCAUGGCUCACUAGGCUAAUCCUCUGCCUGCAGUGCCAGCACACCGGGUUCUAGUCCAGGUUGGGGCGCUGGAUUCUGUCCCGGUUGCUCCUCUUCCAGGCCAGCUCUCUGCUGUGGCCCAGGAAGGCAGUGGAGGAUGGCCCAAGUUCUUGGGCCCUGCACCCACAUGGGAGACCAGGAGGAAGCACCUGGCUCCUGGCUUUGGGUUGGCACAGCGUGCCGGCUGUAGCAGCCAUUUGGGGGGCGAACCAACGGAAAAAGGAAGACCUUACUCUCUGUCUCUCUCUCACACACUAACUCUGCCUGUGAAAAAAAAAAAAGUAGACCAAAAUACUUUCCCUUCAGUAGAGCAGAAAGAACAAAACAAGAGUUUUUUUUUUUUUUAAUUGUGAAUUGAGAGUGGGAAUGGAACUGGAGAGUUCAGGGGAGGUACAGCAUUAUGAGAAAAAUGAACAGGGGCCUGCACUGUGGUGCAGCAGGUUAAAGCCCUGGCCUGAAGCACCGGCAUCCCAUAUGGGCGCCAGUUCUAGUCUUGGCUGCUCCUCUUCCGAUCCAGUUCUCUGCUAUGGCCUGGGAUAGCAGUAGAAGAUGGCCCAAGUCCUUGGGCCCCUGCAGCCACGUGGGAGACCCAGAAGAAGCUCUUGGCUCCUGGCAUCGGAUCGGUGCAGCUCCGGCCAUCUGGGGAGUGAACCAGUGGAUGGAAGACCUCUCUCUGUAACUCUUUCAAAUAAAUAAAGUAAAUCUUAAAAAAAAAAAAAAAGGAAAGAAUUAAAAGGAAUUGGGAAGGAAGAUAUUCAUAUAUUAAUAGAGGUGCUGCAGUGACUUUUGAAUUGAGUUAAUUUUCUUUGAGCAUCUCAAUAUAUUAA